rnacentral:ncRNA from 1 species
CGCGCCGCACCUGCCCCGUUCGCGGGGCCGGGGAAGCCGUUCGAUCAGCGUCGUGUCGCGGUCCGGGACUGUCCUCAGUCCCGGGUCGUCUCGGCGCGGUUCCGAGCGGUCGCUCCCUCGCGAGGUGCCGCGGGUCAGCGGCUGACGCCAGCCACCUUCCCGACCCGUCUUGAAACACGGACCAAGGAGUCUAACAUGUGCGCGAGCCGCGGGGCAGUACGAAGCCGGUAAGGCGAAAUGAAGGUGAACGCCGGCGCGGUCCGGCGGAGGUUGGAUCCCGUCCCGUCGGGGCGGGCGCACUACCGGCCGAUCUUCUCCGCCCUGUCGGAGAGGUCGAGCGAGAGCGUGCAAGUCGGGACCCGAAAGAUGGUGAACUAUGCCUGAGGAGGUCGAAGCCAGAGGAAACUCUGGUGGAGGACCGCACCGAUUCUGACGUGCAAAUCGAUCGUCAAAUUUGGGUAUAGGGGCGAAAGACUAAUCGAACCGUCUAGUAGCUGGUUCCCUUCGAAGUUUCCCUCAGGAUAGCUGGCGCUCUGUCGCAGUUUUAUCUGGUAAAGCGAAUGAUUAGAGGUCUUGGGGGCGAAACGCCCUCAACCUAUUCUCAAACUUUAAAUUGGUAAGAAGCCCGACUCGCUCGUUUGGAGCCGGGCAUGGAAUGCGAGUGCCAAGUGGGCCACUCUUGGUAAGCAGGACUGGCGAUGCGGGAUGAACCGAACGCCGGGUUAAGGCGCCCGACGCGACGCUCAUCAGAGCCCACAAAAGGUGUUGGUUGAUAUAGACAGCAGGACGGUGGCCAUGGAAGUCGGAAACCGCUAAGGAGUGUGUAACAACUCACCUGCCGAAUCAAUCACCCCUGAAAAUGGAUGGCGCUGGAGCGUCGGGCCUAUACCCGGCCGUCGCGGCGGAACGAGCAUCGAGUUGGUGCGCUAGGCCGCGACGAGUAGGAGGGCCGCGGCGGCGGGCGUACAAGCCUAGGGCGCGAGCCCGGGUGGAGCAGCCGUCGGUGCAGAUCUUGGUGGUAGUAGCAAAUAUUCAAAUGAGAACUUU